rnacentral:tRNA from 1 species
CACCCUACACUCUAAACUCUAAACAGAAAUGUGCCCGACAACAAGGGCUAUUUUGAUAAAAUAGAUACAGAACAUAAAACCUCUCAUUUCUG